UGUUCCAGCAGCCGCGGUAAUACGUAGGGUGCAAGCGUUAAUCGGAAUUACUGGGCGUAAAGCGUGCGCAGGCGGUUAUGUAAGACAGAGGUGAAAUCCCCGGGCUCAACCUGGGAACUGCAUUUGUGACUGCAAGGCUAGAGUACGGCAGAGGGGGAUGGAAUUCCGCGUGUAGCAGUGAAAUGCGUAGAUAUGCGGAGGAACACCAAUGGCGAAGGCAAUCCCCUGGGCCUGUACUGACGCUCAUGCACGAAAGCGUGGGGAGCAAACAGGAUUAGAUACCCUGGUAGUCCACGCCCUAAACGAUGUCAACUGGUUGUUGGACGGCUUGCUGUUCAGUAACGAAGCUAACGCGUGAAGUUGACG
rnacentral:rRNA from 1 species